UAUGUAUGAAAAAAGAAAAUGUAAUGUUGUCAUUGUUAAUUCCAGGGCCUCAAUAGCCUGGGAAUGAUAUUGAUAUAUAUUUGCAACCACUUAUAGAUGACUUGAACGAAUUGUGGAAUAUUGGGAUGAAUGUGUAUGAUGCACACACUAAUGCAGCCUUCAACUUGAGAGCAAUACUUAUGUGGACUAUUAAUGAUUUACCAGCUCUUGAAAAUUUAGCUGGAUGUAAAAUUAAGGGUAGGACAGAUUGCCCUAUAUGUUCUCAGAAUACUCAUUCACAGUGAUUAAAAUUCAGCAGAAAAUUUGCAUACAUGGGUCAUAGGAGAUUUUUGUCACCAUUUCAUCCGUUAAGGAAAAAGAAAUCUUGGUUUGAUGGACAUGAAGAAAAGGGAAGCAAACCUAAAAUUAUGUCUGGUAGCAACAUUCUGGUUACUCUUAAAAAUUAUGUCAACAAUUUUGGGAAAGCUCAGAAACGAAAAAGAAAGACAAAUGAUGGGAGCAUGCUAACAUGGAAAAAGAGAUCAAUCUUUUUAAACUUACCAUAUUGGGAGGUAAGAUUUUG
rnacentral:lncRNA from 1 species